rnacentral:rRNA from 1 species
ACACAUGCAGUCGAGCGCCACCUUCGGGUGGAGCGGCGGACGGGUUAGUAACGCGUGGGAACAUACCCAGAUCUAAGGAAUAGCCACUGGAAACGGUGAGUAAUACCUUAUACGCCCUUCGGGGGAAAGAUUUAUCGGAUUUGGAUUGGCCCGCGUUAGAUUAGAUAGUUGGUGGGGUAACGGCCUACCAAGUCUACGAUCUAUAGCUGGUUUUAGAGGAUGAUCAGCAACACUGGGACUGAGACACGGCCCAGACUCCUACGGGAGGCAGCAGUGGGGAAUCUUGGACAAUGGGCGCAAGCCUGAUCCAGCCAUGCCGCGUGAGUGAUGAAGGCCUUAGGGUCGUAAAGCUCUUUCGCCAGAGAUGAUAAUGACAGUACCUGGUAAAGAAACCCCGGCUAACUCCGUGCCAGCAGCCGCGGUAAUACGGAGGGGGUUAGCGUUGUUCGGAAUUACUGGGCGUAAAGCGCGCGUAGGCGGGUUGUUAAGUUAGAGGUGAAAUCCCGGGGCUCAACCCCGGAACUGCCUUUAAUACUGGCAACCUAGAGUUCGAGAGAGGUGAGUGGAAUUCCGAGUGUAGAGGUGAAAUUCGUAGAUAUUCGGAGGAACACCAGUGGCGAAGGCGGCUCACUGGCUCGAUACUGACGCUGAGGUGCGAAAGUGUGGGGAGCAAACAGGAUUAGAUACCCUGGUAGUCCACACCGUAAACGAUGAAUGCCAGUCGUCGGGUAGCAUGC